UACAGAGGGGUCAAGCGUUGUUCGGAUUCAUUGGGCGUAAAGGGUGCGUAGGCGGCGCGGUAAGUCGGGUGUGAAAUCUCGGAGCUUAACUCCGAAACUGCAUUCGAUACUGCCGUGCUUGAGGACUGGAGAGGAGACUGGAAUUUACGGUGUAGCGGUGAAAUGCGUAGAUAUCGUAAGGAAGACCAGUGGCGAAGGCGGGUCUCUGGACAGUUCCUGACGCUGAGGCACGAAGGUCAGGGGAGCAAACGGG
rnacentral:rRNA from 1 species